CAAUAGCGUAUAUUAAAGUUGUUGCAGUUAAAAAGCUCGUAGUUGGAUUUGUGGCGUACGGUGUGUUCCGGGCACUUGUUGUCUGAGUAACCUGCUGUUGCCAUCCUUGGGUGGAACCUGUGUGGCAUUAGGUUGUCGUGCAGGGGAUGCCCGUCAUUUACUGUGAAAAAAUUAGAGUGUUCAAAGCAGGCUUAUGCCGUUGAAUAUAUUAGCAUGGAAUAAUGAGAUAGGACUUUUUUGCUAUUUUGUUGGUUUGCGCAAAGAGGUAAUGAUUAAUAGGGACAGUUGGGGGUAUUCGUAUUCCAUAGUCAGAGGUGAAAUUCUUGGAUUUUUGGAAGACGAACUACUGCGAAAGCAUUUACCAAGGAUGUUUUCAUUAA
rnacentral:rRNA from 1 species